rnacentral:rRNA from 1 species
AGAGUUUGAUCCUGGCUCAGGAUGAACGCUGGCGGUCUGCUUAACACAUGCAAGUCGAACGCAACCUUCGGGUUGAGUGGCGGACGGGUGAGUAACGCGUGAGAAUCUGCCUUAGGGUCGGGGACAACCACUGGAAACGGUGGCUAAUACCGGAUAAGCCGAUUGGUGAAAGAUUUAUUGCCCGAAGAGGAGCUCGCGUCUGAUUAGCUAGUUGGUGAGGUAAGAGCUCACCAAGGCAGCGAUCAGUAGCUGGUCUGAGAGGACGAUCAGCCACACUGGGACUGAGACACGGCCCAGACUCCUACGGGAGGCAGCAGUGGAGAAUUUUCCGCAAUGGGCGAAAGCCUGACGGAGCAAGACCGCGUGAGGGAGGAAGGCUCUUGGGUUGUAAACCUCUUUUCUCAGGGAAGAAGCUCUGACGGUACCUGAGGAAUCAGCCUCGGCUAACUCCGUGCCAGCAGCCGCGGUAAUACGGAGGAGGCAAGCGUUAUCCGGAAUUAUUGGGCGUAAAGCGUCCGCAGGUGGCGAUUCAAGUCUGCUGUC